AUUGAACGCUGGCGGCAUGCCUUACACAUGCAAGUCGAACGGUAACGCGGGGCAACCUGGCGACGAGUGGCGAACGGGUGAGUAAUGCAUCGGAACGUGCCCAGUUGUGGGGGAUAACUGCUCGAAAGAGCAGCUAAUACAGCAUACGACCUGAGGGUGAAAGCGGGGGAUCGCAAGACCGCGCGCAAUCGGAGCGGCCGAUGUCGGAUUAGCUAGUUGGUGGGGUAAAGGCCCACCAAGGCGACGAUCCGUAGCUGGUCUGAGAGGACGACCAGCCACACUGGGACUGAGACACGGCCCAGACUCCUACGGGAGGCAGCAGUGGGGAAUUUUGGACAAUGGACGCAAGUCUGAUCCAGCCAUGCCGCGUGCGGGAAGAAGGCCUUCGGGUUGUAAACCGCAUUUGUCAGGGAAGAAAUCUUCUGGGUUAAUACCUCGGGAGGAUGACGGUACCUGAAGAAUAAGCACCGGCUAACUACGUGCCAGCCGCCGCAGUAAAAC
rnacentral:rRNA from 1 species